UCCUCUGAAAGCCAGCUUCGUUCUUAUGGCUGCCAGACUCUGACGGGUCCCCACAGUCACGAUCUCUACACAGAGUACUCAGUUCUGUUCUGUGAACUGUUGCCAGACAGAUGACCCGUUUGACCAGUCUAUUUUGGUUCCUGUACAGCAGAAGUCAUUGCAAUGUUGUCUAAACCAACCAGAAUGGUAAAUAUUCUUUCUGAACUCACCCCACCUUUCUUUUCCUUCAACCAUGAUGGAAUCAGAGUUCUAAAUAAAGUGCUUACAUGUGUUUUUAAA